GGGGAAUCUUCCGCUAUGGGCGAAAGCCUGACGGAGCAAUACCGCGUGUGGGAGGAAGGCCCUUGGGUCGUAAACCACUUUUCUCUGUGAAGAAGAUCUGACGGUAGCAGAGGAAUCAGCAUCGGCUAACUCCGUGCCAGCAGCCGCGGUAAGACGGAGGAUGCAAGCGUUAUCCGGAAUUAUUGGGCGUAAAGCGUCCGUAGGCGGUCGUAUAAGUCAGUUGUUAAAGACUGCAGCUCAACUGUGGGAGAGCAACUGAAACUGAGUGACUAGAGUAUGGUAGGGGUAGAGGGAAUUCCUAGUGUAGCGGUGAAAUGCGUAGAUAUUAGGAAGAACACCAGUGGCGAAGGCGCUCUACUGGGCCAUAACUGACGCUGAUGGACGAAAGCUAGGGGAGCGAAAGGGAUUAGAUACCCCUGUAGUCA
rnacentral:rRNA from 1 species